rnacentral:rRNA from 1 species
UACGAAGGGGGCUAGCGUUGCUCGGAAUCACUGGGCGUAAAGGGUGCGUAGGCGGGUCUUAAGUCAGGGGUGAAAUCCUGGAGCUCAACUCCAGAACUGCCUUUGAUACUGAAGAUCUUGAGUUCGGGAGAGGUGAGUGGAACUGCGAGUGUAGAGGUGAAAUUCGUAGAUAUUCGCAAGAACACCAGUGGCGAAGGCGGCUCACUGGCCCGAUACUGACGCUGAGGUGCGAAAGCGUGGGGAGC